AGUGGACGCUGGCGGUAGGCCUAACACAUGCAAGUCGAACGGCAGCACAGUAAGAGCUUGCUCUUACGGGUGGCGAGUGGCGGACGGGUGAGGAAUACAUCGGAAUCUACUUUUUCGUGGGGGAUAACGUAGGGAAACUUACGCUAAUACCGCAUACGACCUACGGGUGAAAGCAGGGGAUCUUCGGACCUUGCGCGAUUGAAUGAGCCGAUGUCGGAUUAGCUAGUUGGCGGGGUAAAGGCCCACCAAGGCGACGAUCCGUAGCUGAUCUGAGAGGAUGAUCAGCCACACUGGAACUGAGACACGGUCCAGACUCCUACGGGAGGCAGCAGUGGGGAAUAUUGGACAAUGGGCGCAAGCCUGAUCCAGCCAUACCGCGUGGGUGAAGAAGGCCUUCGGGUUGUAAAGCCCUUUUGUUGGGAAAGAAAAGCAGCAGGUUAAUACCCCGCUGUUCUGACGGUACCCAAAGAAUAAGCACCGGCUAACUUCGUG
rnacentral:rRNA from 1 species